GGGGCGAAAGACUAAUCGAACCAUCUAGUAGCUGGUUCCUCCGAAGUUUCCCUCAGGAUAGCUGGCGCUCUCGCAAACCCAACCUCCCACGCAGUUUU
rnacentral:rRNA from 1 species